rnacentral:tRNA from 1 species
AGAUAUGUGAUUUUAUGAUAAAUUGAAAUUUAUUUUAAAACGCGGGUUCGAUUCCCGCCUUAUCCA